rnacentral:rRNA from 1 species
GAUGAACGCUGGCGGCGUGCCUAACACAUGCAAGUCGAGCGGGAUCUUGCUAAAUGACGCUUCGGUUGAUUUUAGUAAGUGAGAGCGGCGGACGGGUGAGUAACGCGUAGGCAACCUGCCCUUUGCAGAGGGAUAGCCAUUGGAAACGAUGAUUAAAACCUCAUAAUGCCAGACUGAGACAUCUCUAACUGGCCAAAGAUUUAUCGGCAAAGGAUGGGCCUGCGUCUGAUUAGCUAGUUGGUGGGGUAACGGCCUACCAAGGCGACGAUCAGUAGCCGACCUGAGAGGGUGAUCGGCCACAUUGGAACUGAGAUACGGUCCAAACUCCUACGGGAGGCAGCAGUGGGGAAUAUUGGGCAAUGGGCGCAAGCCUGACCCAGCAACGCCGCGUGAAGGAAGAAGGUUUUCGGAUUGUAAACUUCUGUCCUAUGUGAAGAGAAGUAGACGGUAGCAUAGGAGGAAGCCCGGCUAACUACGUGCCAGCAGCC